GGAUCUACUCUUCUUCCCGGAUAGGAUGAAGACUUUGGACCCUCUUCUGGACUUCUUCAGCCGUCGGACGAUGGAUGUCUAGCCCCCUCUUGGGUUGGAUGAAGAUAUCGGAGCCAGGACGGAUCGGUGAACCUGGUAUGGUGAAGACAAGCAUAUUCCUUAUCAUGUUACACAUGCACCAACGAGGGCAGCAACAGUAACUGCAUGACGGCCGUUAACUGUACUGCUGGAACUGACUCCUACUGCAAGACAUCUGUUCUGAGUGUUAAGUCUCCAGGUAGCUAUUCUAAAACCUCCAUCACUAAGGAAUGUGCCUCAGCCUGCACAGCACUCAAUGUGGAUCUUUCAUUGGCUUCUACUUCAGUCUCCUGCUGUAACACGAAUUUGUGCAACACCAGUGGUGCCUCCAGUGUGAAAUCCAGCUCUGGCAUCCUCGCUCUGUCUGUGGGGCUCUUCCUGGCUCUGCUGGGGAAAUCCUCUCUCUGAUGUGCAGGACAACGGCCCCGAGGAUCCAGCAUUUAGUUCUCCAACAAGUUGUCAGAUAUCAUUUAGAUUAUAUUAUCUAUUGGUUUUAAUCAAUAAAAAUAUAAUUAAAACAUAAAUAAA